AUUACGGUAGAUCCAACGACUCUUGACAAUCGUUAUCAUUCAGCGGAUUCGCGUCAUUUCCAACUCACCAGUUUUUACAAAAACAAGAAAGAAUACAAAGUCGAUCCGUUCUUCUAGUACCGAAGGUACUGAGGAUCACGGUUUUCUGCGUACGCGGACGACUGUUGGUGUACCGUUCAGAGCCAGGCAUUAUUUAAGUCAAUUCCUGGUUAGGGAAAUGACCGAGCAAUCUUCGUAGGUUUCUCUACUACCCAGCAAACUGGGAGCAUUCGCAUCAUUACGCGAGAGGUGAAAUUCGUGGACCGUAGUGAAACGCCCAACAGCGAAAGCAUUUACCAAGAAUUUCUUCAUUAAUCAAGAACAAAAAUCAGAGGUUCGGAGGCGAUUAGAUACCACCCUAGUUCUGACCGUAAACGAUGCCAUCUCGCGAUUCUGAGAGUCUUUCGGUUAUGGGGGAAGUAUGGUUUCCAAGCUGAAGCUUAAAGAAAUUGGGGCACCACACGGUUUGGGCUUGCAAAACCCACCUGGUUCAAUU
rnacentral:ncRNA from 1 species